AUAGCCACAUGAAGUUGUCUGCCCUCUAUAAAAAUUUCACGUGAAGACUGGCACAGAUCAGGGUCCUUGGAGGUGCUAGUUUGCAAGAAACUUUGAUGGCUAAUUUCUUCCUUCUUCUUCAAACACCUUGGAUACUCCAAAGCAAUAGGAUAUCUGAAGGAGGAAGAGAGGAAGAGGAGAAGAGCUCUAAAAAAAUAAAAAUCAGCA
rnacentral:lncRNA from 1 species